rnacentral:rRNA from 1 species
GUAGGUGGCAAGCGUUGUCCGGAAUUAUUGGGCGUAAAGCGCGCGCAGGCGGUUCUUUAAGUCUGAUGUGAAAGCCCACGGCUCAACCGUGGAGGGUCAUUGGAAACUGGAGAACUUGAGUACAGAAGAGGAAAGCGGAAUUCCACGUGUAGCGGUGAAAUGCGUAGAGAUGUGGAGGAACACCAGUGGCGAAGGCGGCUUUCUGGUCUGUAACUGACGCUGAGGCGCGAAAGCGUGGGGAGCAAACAGGAUUAGAUACCCUGGUAGUCCACGCCGUAAACGAUGAGUGACUAAGUGGUUAGGGGGUUUCCGCCCCCUUAGUGCUGCAGCUAACGCAUUAGCACUCCGCGUGGGAGUGCGGCCGCAAGGCUG